rnacentral:rRNA from 1 species
CACGCCGUAAACGAUGAAUACUAGGUGUAGGGGGUAUCGACCCCCCCUGUGCCGCAGUAAACACAAUAAGUACUCCGCCUGGGAAGUACGAUCGCAAGAUUAAAACUCAAAGGAAUUGACGGGGACCCGCACAAGCAGCGGAGCAUGUGGUUUAAUUCGAAGCAACGCGAAGAACCUUACCUGGACUUGACAUCCCCGGAAUGACUCGUAAUGGAGGAAGCCCCACGGGGCAGGGAGACAGGUGG